rnacentral:lncRNA from 1 species
UCAUUCAAAGCGAUCGUUUUCAAGCGACCUUCACUACUUGUGAUUAUAAGAUUGUAACUAUUAGGUGAAACUCCCUCAUAAUCUAGCAUCAUAUUCAUGCAUGAAAACUAAGCGUGCACUUUCAAUCAACAUACACAAAUAAGUUAUCAAUCAAAUAGAUGAACGAAUUGAAUCCACAACUUAUGAAAUAACAACUGAAUGUAAUCAAAUCAUAUGCAAGCAUGUACAUGGUUUCGAAUUACCCCCCAACUAAGGGGGUUUAGUUCCUCAUACUCACA